rnacentral:lncRNA from 1 species
GUCGUCAGGUAGUCUGCAAAUGAUUUAAUCCCAGUUGGAUAGGAAGGAAAGAAACUAAAAUAUUUGAGUGACACUGAUUAAAAACUAAUAAUUGUAGCUAAAAUUUAGAGAAAUGUAGGAAAAAAUUACGAAAAAUUAUAGGCAUAACUGUGCGGGGAAAAGGCCCUCAUUGAGACUUGGCCCCAGUAGUUGCAUUUCUUAAAAAAUGCCCUGAUCGGAGAUAAUAGAGAAGAAGCAGAUAUGAGAAGAAAUGGUUUAUAUACAUUUUUCAUUUUUACUUCUGAGUGAUUGAAAUGAGUGAGUUCACACCAUAUCGAAUGUCAUGUCUGUGGUGAUGUCUUCAGAAUGGUCAUGUGAGUACUUCCGUAUUAACUGUACAGUGGUUUGGAAAACAAGGUUGAAGCAGAAUAUCAGCGUGUCUAAAACAAAAAGGUAAGAGUUUUAUUAUGUUAUAAAGUCCACUAGAGUCUGUUCUUUCAUAUCGUCCAGUUAAAACCUUCCAAAUAGUGCCGAAUGAGGGUAACUUUUUCGAUUGAUCGCACAACGUUUUUAAUAUGGUCGUUUCGUCCCCUUUAUGUUUCGUCCCCACACUAGAUACCGUUUUAUCUGUAAACUACUUUAUCUUACUUUUUAUGAACUAGAUAUACAUAAGAUAUAUUUAUAUUUGUUUCUACUUUGAUCACUCAUGAUUUUGUCAUCAUGCCCCUGCUAUAAAAUAAUACCGUACUAUGACCGAAACAAAACGGUCCCUGUUCGACUUCGUUCCUGUCUGAUGUCUAAACCGAUCAUUGCCAUUCGCAGACAUUGGUCUAGUUUCCCUCAGUUCCUGUUAAAAUAAACUAAAGUAAAGUGUCACUAUAAUAGUCACUGACAACACUGUUAUUGUGAAAUAAAAGCCAAGUUUCAGAAUUUAAAUACAAAAAUGUGUAUUAUAUCCAGCAUACAACCACUGAGAUACAAUCUCAUAAAAGUAGACACGAAAAUAAAUAUAUCUUAUGUAUAUAGUUCAUGAAAAUGUAAGAUAAAGUAGUUUAUAGAGAAAACAGUAUCUAGUGUGGGGACGAAACAUAAAGGAGACGAAACAACCUUGGACGAAACGGCAAGGAGACGAAACGACCAGAUACUUGCACAACAAUGAACUUUUAGACCACAACAUCUCAAGCUUUCAUGCGGUCGGGAUAUAUUUGUAUUUUUAUAUUAGCUUCAGUAUGCCAGAAUAUGUAUUAUCAAAAAAUGCUAAAAUACUGUAUUAAAUUGAGAAAUAAGGUCUCUUACCACAACUACAAUGUGUAAUUGACUUUUCUGGGUUGAUUUUUUCUUAUUAUGUAGACCCAUAGUGGAAUCCUCGUUUUCUUCAACACCAAUAUCCAAUUUUUAGGCUAAUUGUCACGCCAAAAUAUUGGUAUUUUGUUACGCCAAAAUUUUGUCUCAAAGUAUGCACACACACCAAUUACGCUAUUCACUCGGUUAGAAAUUAAAAAUAUGAAUAUAACCUCGGAACUUCCCACAGUGUAAACGUAUAUCUUCUUUUACUGGGAGAUUCCAAAAGGCAUACAGUACAAGGUACAUACAGUAACCACUGUAUGUACUAUUAAUCAUAAUCAUGACUUUUCAGGGGAGGUGCAAAAUGAUUUCAGGGGAGGUGCACCCCCCCCCCCACACACACACACACACACACCUCCCCUCAAAGUCCGGCUAUGCCCAGGCUGAACAAUCAAGUCUCAAAAUAAAGCUAUUUUGCUUCUGUGAAGAAUUUAAAGUGUUGUUUACUGUAAUUGAUCGAUUAAACGCCGCUCAGCGAAUAAGCGCCGCUCUUGAGUAAGUGCCGCACCUUUGCCGAAAAUAUUUUAAAUUAUGUCCCGCUUUCAAAAUUACACUGUAUUCCUUGAUUUUAUUUAAUAAAUUGCCUAUAUCUAGUAUGUGCUUCUUUUAUUCACUAUAUAUUCAAUGCAUGUUUUGAAAUGAGUGGCGCUCUCAAGUAAGCGCUGCUCUUGAAUAAAUGCUGAAUCUUUAACUGGAAGAAUCUAAAUAAGUGCUGAGGCGCGUAAUCAAUUAUUCACAGUAUGUCUAUUUGACUUUUUUUUCUUUUUUUCAGGCGCAGUCGCCGAAAUGACAGGUUAACCCUACAGAGCUUAUUGCUCCAUUUACAGAGUCCCUAAUAAUAUGUAUAUAUGUAUAUAUGUAUAUAUAAAAAAAACAACAAAAAAAAACAACAUUACAUUAUUUACAACACAUUUUAUCCACAAGACUGGACAACGGACGACACGAGUGACACUUGACACAUAUACUUUUAAAUGUUUGUGGAGCAUUAAUGUUAUAUAUUUCUUUAGUCAUUGCUUCAUAAUAAGUUAACAGGUAAGAUUUGAAUUGGCCGACAGUAACGCUUGCUUCUCGAAUAUGUGGUGGUAGGGAGUUAUAUAUUCUGGGAGCUCUAUUAUAAAAACUGUUCUGAAAAGUUAAAGUGUUAACUCUGGAAAUUUUCAAUGUUACACUGUUAGUGUUGUAGCGCGCCUGGUGAUACGAUCGUUUGAUACUACACUAAUCUGAGAAUCAUUCAAUUUAAUUGCAAGUCCAGGUACUUGUCCCAGUAAGACAGAGGAAGUAAACCUGUUUUCAAUAGUCUCUCCUGGUAACUAGUUUCAGAUCUAAACGGCAGCGAUAGGAUGAAUCUCGUUGCACGUCUUUGAAUCUUCUCGACUUCGAGGAUUAAAGACACAGACUGCGGGGACCAGACUUGGGAGCUGUACGCGAAACGACUUUUGAAUUGUGCAAAACUGUGAUUGCAUUAGAAAUAGUACAGACAAAAAUAAAGCUACUCAUAAAAGGAUUGUUUUUUCAACCAGGGCUGAGAAAUUUCCAGUCGAUUACAUGACGAUGUUCAGCCUGGGCUAAAACUCAUCCUGGACUGAAAUUUUUGUCAUGUAAUCGUUUGCUGUGUUUUAAUAAGAUUUUAUCCAUAGGCCAGCUUGAAAUGUCGUCAGCCCAGAAAACCAGGCUGAAACUCAGGCCUGGCUAAGGGGCUAUUUAUAUGGUCGCGCUUACCCGGGAUUCAAUUAAGUGUGACGUAUUUUGAGCAAUUGAAAUACGUGUUUCAGCCCUAAACAGAAGUUAGAUAACUUUAAAUAUUGUUUAAACGAAAUUAGGAACGCGCUAGAAGUUAUGUAGUGGAAUAAGACGAUUUUAAAAUAUCAUUCAACAACAUUUGUUUUUUUGUAAAACAUGGAUAACCAAUUUUGUUAGAUCAUUAACUGCGACUUAUUUUAAUUGCUCAAAAUACGUCACACUUCACUGAAUCCUGGGUAAGCGGGACCAUAUAUAAACAACCCCUUAAAACUCUCCAUGAUAUAUGGGCAUGCAACUUUCAUAUAUCUCUAAAUUUCGUGUCGCGGUGUACCGGCGUAGGUGUACCGGCGGUGGUAAAUCAUAUGACAGAUUCGUAAAAUACGACAAAUACCGAGUUUUUCCGACGAGCAUUUUCAUGCGAUGUGAAUCACUUAUGCACGCUUUCGAAAAUAUUGAUUUUUCGCCGAAAAUUUAGCACCUUAGAAAAAUAGAUCGAGGUAGGUAAAGCUUUGCUGUUUUUAAUUUACCUUAUAUUCUGUUAUUUGUUGUUAUUUUGGAGCCGUUGUGCUCGCACUGAUUAUUUAUCAAUUAUCAGGCGUUUAUGUACCAUUUAAAACAUUCACAGUUCGUGCUUUAUCUGAUAUAAAACACGAGAACGCAGCUCGUCGAAUGUUUUAUACCUGAUAAAGCACGAACUGAGAGUGUUUUAAAUGGUUUAAACGACGACCCAUCUUAUGAGUUCAUUGGCGAAGUAAUUUUAAGAAUCAACAUUGUCUAAGCCGAGAAAAUCAAAGCUAAAGUUUAUGUAAAUGAACAUGAUUUUUUAUCACAUAUAAAACCACCAACACGGCAGUGAUUUUCUUUGUAUAUAUUGUGAAAGGCCACGCUAUCAAAAUACUCAUUUUUUAUAUGCUCAAAUUGAAACAAAGCCAUUGUGCUCGCACUGAUUAUAUUGUGUGCAAAACGUCAAAACUACAGUACAUACUGCAAAUAACAUGAAAUUGAAAUAUAUUAAAAAAUCAAACAAAAUUCUCAUUAAUAGUAAUAUUAUUGAAAUUUUAUACAACGAAAUAGCAUAUUCUACUCGAGAUCAUAGUUUAAUAAUUAUUUUCAAUUCAACGUUUCCACGGGUUUUUAUAUCUUCAAAAAGCCACAAUAAAUCUAAAUUUGUUUAAAUUUGUAGGAAAUAACAUUGUUUAUUUCAAAUAGUCAAUAAGUGAUAAAACAUUGACCAGUUGACCUUGUUAUUACCGUCCCUUGCAACUACAGAUGAAUAGUCGCUCAUAAAGAACAUUGCUUAUUCGUGUGAGAAUCUUAAGUUUUGUUAUUUUGACAUAAUAGCUAUUUUUCAAUAAAUAUAUUGAUAUUAAACUUAUUGAAUCAAUAUUUUAAGUUUCAGGCCAGUUGUAUCAAAAUUUAUAAGCGCUUACGCACCACAGAUAUCUUAUAUACACUAGAUAUAGUGCAUCUAAUUAUUCUGCAAUUCAAAAAUUAAAGCCGUGAUUGCAGUCUCAGAUCGUUCCCUUGAAAUGAGAAGAUUCGUAUGUUUUCUAUUUCUUAAACAGGGAACUUAAACUUUAAGUUAACCCUAUUCCAAACACGUUUUUAAACUAUUCAAAUAAUGAAAGUUAUUGUUAUUUUUAAGCGAUUAUUAGCAAGUGGGAACGACCAACAUGGCCGCCAUCUAUUCAAAAGGGGGUAACCGCUGGAAUAUUCCUGGCUUCAAUUUUACUAAAUGAGAUGCGCUAUCUAGUGUAUAUAAGAUAUCUAUGUUACGCACCAUAAAGGCAGAUUUCCGUUCAGUGCAAAAUGUCGUGCGAUCGAUAUUUUGUGAUCACUUUCUUUUGAAAUACAAGCAAUCACACGCAACGGAUCAGGUUGACUGAACGCAUUUCAAAAGAAAGUGAUCGCAAACAGUUGAUCUCGCGAUAUUUUGCACUGAAUGGAAAUCCGCGGCCUUAAGUUUCUGAGGUAUGCAACAUGUACGCAUGCGUACCUAUUUUUAUUAUUUUAAACAAAUUAUAAAAAUGAACUAAUUUAUUCAAAGUGCAUUAAUUUUAUAACAGAUGUCUGGGGCUGUGAUAAAAGUCUAUUUUACUAUAUGGUGACGGAUGCCUAUAUUUUUCCUGGAUACCAGUAUCUGGCUCCGGCGUAUCCUUACUUAUUACUAGCUCUGUUUUUUUAGGAACUUUUCAGAGGAUACUUCUGCAAAUUUUACGAUGGUAAUAAAUUCUAGCAACGUUUGAACGAAGGAAUGUCAAGAAGACAAGAUGAAAGUCUACACAAUGCAUGUGGAGAAGGGGAUCUUCACAAAGUACAAGAGAUCUUGCAAAAGGACCCGGAUAUCACCUACAGGUUGAAUCAACGUGGCGGUCCCUUUGGCAACACUCCAUUGCACAACGCUGUACGUGCGGGUCAUGUUGAUAUCUUACAACUGUUGCUUAACCAUGGUGCCAGUGUGAACGUGGCGGACAGUGGUGGUGAUACACCAUUGCACGACGCUGUAUCUUGGGGUCAUGUUGAUAUCUUACAACUGUUGCUUAACCAUGGUGCCAGUGUGAACGCGGUGAACAAUGAUGGUGAUACACCAUUGCACAAAGCUGCAUCUCGGGCUCGUGUGAAAUGCAUUAAGGUUUGU